rnacentral:rRNA from 1 species
GACGUAGGGCGCGAGCGUUGUCCGGAUUUAUUGGGCGUAAAGAGCUCGUAGGCGGCUUGUCGCGUCGUCCGUGAAAACCUGGGGCUCAACCCCAAGCUUGCGGUCGAUACGGGCAGGCUGGAGUUCGGUAGGGGAGACUGGAAUUCCUGGUGUAGCGGUGAAAUGCGCAGAUAUCAGGAGGAACACCGGUGGCGAAGGCGACUACCUGGCCUGUUCUUGACGCUGAGGCGCGAAAGCUAGGGGAGCAAACGGG